ensembl:lncRNA
UUGACUGAGAUGAGUUCAAAAUGCAUAAAAAACUAGCCAGCAAAUCGCAUGGAAUCCCCCAAAAAAUCAAUUAAAAAAGACGUAACGGUUGAGACCGCGGAUAAUUUAUUCUGUGGAAGACGUGACUGUCCAUCCAGAUUGAGACAUUUCUCUCAAAAGUCUUCCACGUUUGUAUAACAGUUCACGGUGAACCGCAAAUAUGGCCAAAAAGUUUCACUGUUUCGUCUUUUCAAUUCAAGAUUAGAAAGGAUUCCCUUCAUCCUUUCUGCAGUAUCCAAGGCUGUUGUUUGUCCCAUGUUUUAUUUUCCCCCGACAUGAAUGCCUUUUGUUCGCCCACACGUAGGUACAACCUUGGAUGGAAACUGUUCCAAAUUGCCUGUAAAUUGAGGGUUUGAGUGUAAACUCACCUAUCUGAAGCCUGCGAGCCUCUGCGAGGUGAAUUCUAUCUGAAAUGAAGAAAAAGCAUCUGUAGGAAAGAGUUAGGAAAAAUAAUCCCAAGUCUUUCAGCAAACGCUGAUAAAUGAUGAGCAGGAACAUGAAGUCCACGCCGUUAGUGGUCCGUCUUUAUCCGUCAUUGAGCUGAAACUUGAGGGAUGUUUGCAUUAUUUAGGGGGCGCGGGGCUGCACCCUCUCAGUUGAUUUGUCGACUGAUUGUUUUGCUCGUUUUUUGUUCAAUUGCAAUUCUUUAUGCUUUUUCUAAUACUGAAUGUAUUAUUUUAGGAAACCCAUAAAUAUCUCUCGUAAAAUCAAGAUUUUUAGUGAUGCUUUUGUGCGAUUUCUUUCUUAUUUUGUCUUGUGAAGAAAUUGAGUUGCAGGAACUGUUGAUUAGAUCAUUGAUUAGCUGUCAAAUUCGUAUGAGUGUUGUGUUGUUGUGGUCCGGCCCAAGUUCGGCUCCCGUAGUCAAGUUGUAUCGAGACACUUGAGAAAAUAACUACAAAAUAGUGCUGUGAAGAAUAAUUGGGUGGAGAAUCGAGAGAGUGAGUGACACACACGCGAACCCCCUAACACACACACACACACACAGACACACACACACACACACACACACACAACUUAAAUCAUCAUUGGAAAAUCAUUAGAAAUCUGGCCGCGCUGAGGGGCACAGAUUGAGGGACAAACCCCAUUCAAGUACACACAAAGACAGGCGUGCACACACACACUAACACACUCACAGAGAGGCAGCCGGGUGGAAGGGAACAUGGGCGGUUCCAUCCACACACACACACACACACACACACACACACACACACACACACACAAGAACAGCUCGAACCUCACAAACAACCCUCCAUACAAACCCGUCCGCCCACCUCCGUCGACAUUUAUUGCGCCUUCUGUGUGAAUGUAUUUCAGUUUUAUUCACAUGUCAGCCAUUGUGUGUGUGUGUGUGUGUGUGUGUGUGUGGGCGAGUGUGUGUGUGUGUGUGUGUGUGUGUGUGUGUGUGUGUGUGUGUGUGUGUGUGUGUGUGUGUGCGUGUGUGUGUGUGUGUCUCAUGUGUUUGGGGACCUACACCGUCAGGCCUGAGCAUGUGAUUUAUUUCAGAAUACUAAUGUCUCUUUGAUGUCCUCUGUUUAAAAGGAGGAUCGGGGGCACGAACGCGCACAAACGCGCACGAAUGCAUGAAGGUCUCUGCAUACAAGGGAGCACACGGCCGCACACCUGCAGCACACACGCCUACAUUAAUGUUGUUGUGUCCCCUUGACUGACUGCUGAGCAGGAUUCAUUUAUGCACACACACACACACACACACACACUCACACACACUUCGGGGCGUCUAAUCUACUUUAACUAUCUUCAAAUCCACAGAGAUCCAAUUACAAAGAUAGAGGGAUAUUUGUUUUCUCUGCGCAUCCUAAAAGACUAAUUAAAUUUUCAUGUAAAGAUGAAAUUAUUUGAUACAACACAAACGUCUUUUCAUUUUCAUAAUCGUAAUGUAAUAUAUCUUAAUUGGGGAUCCUGUUUCUGUCUACCUCAGCUGUCUUUCCAGGCCUAUUAUCCUGCACAGCCAUUAAAUCCACAUGCACACAUUCACACACACUUACCUUGCUUCCUUGUAUCAUUUCACCAUAAUUUGAACGCAGGGUCGUGUGUACUACAAGGUAUCCCAGAAUGCACCAGGCAGAAAGCCUGGCACACUCUUGGCAUUCUUUCAAUCAGCUUUGUUUACCACAUAAUUCCAUACGUGUUGUGUCUUCAAUACUAAUAUUCUAUAUAUUCUAAAUUAAAAAGAAAAAACCUUGAAUGAGAAUGUGUUCAAACCUUUGUCUGGUGCUGUACAUGAUACUGCAGGUUUCACUGAACAGGAUGACCAGUCCACAGCCGUGCAGCCUCUGCUAGGCCUUACAAAGCAAGGGGCAGCAGGGCAGAGUCAGGGGACGUCAAAGCCCUUAAAGUGCAUCCUUUGGGGAUUAUGUCUGUGCACGAAAUUUACUUGUAUGUCUUUUAACGCGAGUUUGGAAGUUCGAUUACCGGCUCGUCCGCAUGGUGAAGUGUCCUUGAACGAGACACUGGAGCCCGAGCGGCUCCCUUGCAACUUUACAGCUGCCCACUGCUCUUUUGGAGGGUUAAAAUAAGAGGUAUAUUUGUGUGGUAUGCCAAUAUUUAUAUAUUGCCACGGUUUGGGUUCUUUUCCUGUUUUAUUUUGUAGUUUCUUGCCUCUUGUGUCCCUGGGUAACUUCACUUCCUGCCUUGUCCUGUCGUCCCCUGUGAUUGUCUGCUGUGUCUGAUCGUUUCCACCCGUGUCCAAUCACCUGCACCCCCAGUGCAUCUAAGCCGUGUGUGUCUGUUGUCAUUGGUCGCCUCAUUGUUAAUCGUCAGAGCGUUUCUGGUCCAUGUCUGUGUUUCUGCCCCUCGGCCUUUUUUGCUUUUGAACAUUUGGACUAUUAAAGUCUUCUUUUGUUUCUCGAAGUCUGCGUUUUGAGUCCUGCGUUCCCCGGAACCCCGUGACACACAUGACACAUUUGCCAUUUUGGUUUUGGCAUCUUGCUGCAGAGCGACACUUAAAACUAAUCAGCUUGUAAGAAAGCGCUCUUCCCUCCUACUGCCGGCCUUGUUAACGCUGUUGUGUGUUCACUUUUGUACAUCACGUUUUGAAAGUUAGUGACCUCACGGUGGAUUUUCAGGCAAACUGAGUUGUCUCCUCUGAUUUCAGCCCCUCGUUUGUGACAUUUCCCUCAGUGAGCUUGGAUGAACCCCGGCUGCUAUAUUCAUUUACAGUACAAUCUGUACAAUUGGUUGCUUGUCAAACUGUGUGUGUCUUCUUUGAUUCACUGCAAUCCAAUACGAAUAGGCCGCUCUGGAAAGAAGCUGAAGUCCUUCUUUAGAUUGUGUGUAAGAGCUGGAUGCGGUUUAUGUCCUCUAUGGUUUCCAAUAGGCGACAUUUAGAUUGGAUUGUGGAAUAGUGAGUCUGUUAUAUUUGUGCAACUGUAAAUGUGGAAUAGUAAUUAGCAGUUGUUGUGUAUCGGUCCAGCCGGCUCUGGAAAUCCUCUUUAAACUGCAUUCAAGCUUUUUAAUGUAAUGGUGCUCCGCUGCUUCCUCAUGUUUCCACCAGAG